UACAGAGGGUGCGAGCGUUAAUCGGAAUUACUGGGCGUAAAGCGUGCGUAGACGGUUAUGUAAGUCUGUCGUGAAAUCCUCGGGCUCAACCUGAGAAUUGCGAUGGAGACUGCAAGGCUAGAAUCUGGCAGAGGGGGGUAGAAUUCCACGUGUAGCAGUGAAAUGCGUAGAGAUCCGGAGGAACACCAGAGGCGAAGGCGGCCUGCUGGGCUGCACCUGACGCGUGAGCCGCGAAAAGCCCAGGGGAGCGAACGGG
rnacentral:rRNA from 1 species